rnacentral:rRNA from 1 species
GACGAACGCUGGCGGCGUGCCUAAUACAUGCAAGUAGAACGCUGAAGGAAGGAGCUUGCUCUUUCUGGAUGAGUUGCGAACGGGUGAGUAACGCGUAGGUAACCUGCCUGGUAGCGGGGGAUAACUAUUGGAAACGAUAGCUAAUACCGCAUAAAAUGGAUUAUUGCAGGAUAGUCAAUUAAAAGGUGCAACGGCACCACUACCAGAGGGACCUGCGUUGUAUUAGCUAGUUGGUGGGGUAACGGCUCACCAAGGCGACGAUACAUAGCCGACCUGAGAGGGUGCUCGGCCACCCUGGGACUGCGACACGGCCCAGACUCCUACGGGAGGCAGCAGUAGGGAAUCUUCGGCAAUGGACGGAAGUCUGACCGAGCAACGCCGCGUGAGUGAAGAAGGUUUUCGGAUCGUAAAGCUCUGUUGUAAGAGAAGAACGAGUGUGAGAGUGGAAAGUUCACACUGUGACGGUAUCUUACCAGAAAGGGACGGCUAACUACGUG